rnacentral:lncRNA from 1 species
UGAUCAUUUAGAUUUCAUUUGGAGUGUAUUGUAACUACUCCUCUUUUUUUUUUUUUUUCUAAUUUUUAAAACUGGUCUUCUUUCUCUUUUGGUUAGUUUGGGUAGGGGUUUGUCAAAUUUGUGUAUUUUUUUCCAAAAAUACACUAAUUCUAUGUGCUGUUCUCUUAGUCUCCUUCUUAUUCAUUCCAGCCUCAAUUGCUCUUUUUUCUUGUUUGUUUGUUUGUUUGUUUGUUUGAGACAAGGUUACUCUGUGUAGCAGUCCUGGAAGUCACUUUGAGGACCGGGCUGACCUGGAACUCCCCCUCUGAGAUGCUGGAAUUAGGGGUUACAGGUACCAGGAAUCAAACUCAGGUUGUCAGGCCAAGUGGCAAGCACCUUUACCUACUGGGCCAUCUCAGAGACUUACUUGCAAAGUUUUUAAUGAAGGACGGAAGAAACCCGGAGUCAGACGGAUGACUACUCCAGCUCCAAGUCCCAG